AUUGAACGCUGGCGGCAGGCCUAACACAUGCAAGUCGAACGGCAGCACAGAAGAGCUUGCUCUUUGGGUGGCGAGUGGCGGACGGGUGAGUAAUGUCUGGGAAACUGCCCGAUGGAGGGGGAUAACUACCGGAAACGGUAGCUAAUACCGCAUAACGUCGCAAGACCAAAGUGGGGGACCUUCGGGCCUCACACCAUCGGAUGUGCCCAGAUGGGAUUAGCUAGUAGGUGGGGUAAUGGCUCACCUAGGCGACGAUCCCUAGCUGGUCUGAGAGGAUGACCAGCCACACUGGAACUGAGACACGGUCCAGACUCCUACGGGAGGCAGCAGUGGGGAAUAUUGCACAAUGGGCGCAAGCCUGAUGCAGCCAUGCCGCGUGUAUGAAGAAGGCCUUCGGGUUGUAAAGUACUUUCAGCGGGGGGGAAGGCGAUGUGGUUAAUAACCGCAUUGAUUGACGUUACCCGCAGAAGAAGCACCGGCUAACUCCGUGCCAGCCGCCGCCGUAA
rnacentral:rRNA from 1 species